GGUAGAAUGGCUGAGAGUUUAAGCGGCGGAUUGUAGCUCCGAUUACAAAGGUUUAAAUCCUUUUCCUACCA
rnacentral:tRNA from 1 species